CUUGGUCAUUUAGAGGAAGUAAAAGUCGUAAACAAGGUUUCCGUAGGUGAACCUGCGGAAGGAUCAUUAUCGAAAUUAUUGGUGAGGGUUGUAGCUGGCCUUUCGAGGCAUGUGCACGCUCGAGCCCUUAAUCCACUUUACACCUGUGCACUUAAUGUAGGUCGCCCUUAAAAAAGGUGACCUAUGUCUUAUCAUCAACCCAUCGUAUGUCUCAUAGAAUGUAAUCGAUAUCCUCGCCCUGAAAAAGCGUUGAUAAACUUAUACAACUUUCAACAACGGAUCUCUUGGCUCUCGCAUCGAUGAAGAACGCAGCGAAAUGCGACAAGUAAUGUGAAUUGCAGAUUUUCAGUGAAUCAUCGAAUCUUUGAACGCACCUUGCGCUCCUUGGUAUUCCGAGGAGCAUGCCUGUUUGAGUGUCAUUAAAUUCUCAACUCCAAGGGUUUCACGACCUUUCGGAGAUUGGACUUGGAGGUGCUGGCCGCAUAUUGGUCGGCUCCUCUCAAAUGCAUCAGCGGAAUUCAACCUUUGGCUUCCGGAUGUCAGUGUGAUAAUCAUGUUGCGCUGUCGUUUGAUCCCUCAGAGUCCGCUUAUAAUGGUCUUCGGACAAAAUCAUCAUCAAAUUUGACCUCAGAAUCAGGUAGGACUACCCGCUGAACUUAAGCAUAUCAAUAAGCGGAGGA
rnacentral:rRNA from 1 species